AAGACCUUGCGCUUUUGGAGCGGCCGAUGCCUGAUUAGCUUGUUGGUAAGGUAAAAGCUUACCAAGGCUACGAUCAGUAGCUGGUCUGAGAGGACGACCAGCCACACUGGGACUGAGACACGGCCCAGACUCCUACGGGAGGCAGCAGUGGGGAAUUUUGGACAAUGGGGGCAACCCUGAUCCAGCCAUGCCACGUGAGUGAAGAAGGCCUUCGGGUUGUAAAGCUCUUUCAGCCGGAACGAAACGGUUACGGUUAAUACCCGUGACUACUGACGGUACCGGAAGAAGAAGCACCGGCUAACUACGUGCCAGCAGCCGCGGUAAUACGUAGGGUGCGAGCGUUAAUCGGAAUUACUGGGCGUAAAGCGUGCGCAGGUGGUUUUGUAAGUCAGAUGUGAAAGCCCCGGGCUCAACCUGGGAACU
rnacentral:rRNA from 1 species